rnacentral:rRNA from 1 species
CCUACGGGAGUCAGCAGUAGGGAAUCUUUCACAAUGGGCGAAAGCCUGAUGGAGCAACGCCGCGUGCAGGAUGAAGGCCUUCGGGUUGUAAACUGCUUUUAUAAGCGAGAAAUAUGAUGGUAACUUAUGAAUAAGGAUCGGCUAACUACGUGCCAGCAGCCGCGGUCAUACGUAGGAUCCGAGCAUUAUCCGGAGUGACUGGGUGUAAAGAGUUGCGUAGGUGGCAUAAUAAGUAGCUAGUGAAAUCUGGUGGCUCAACCAUUCAGACUAUUAGCUAAACUGUUAAGCUCGAGACCGUUAGGGGUAACUGGAAUUUCUAGUGUAGGAGUGAAAUCCGUAGAUAUUAGAAGGAACACCAAUAGCGUAGGCAGGUUGCUGGGACGGUUCUGACACUAAGGCACGAAAGCGUAGGGAGCAAACGGGAUUAGAUACCCGAGUAGUC